UGAUAGUCUAGUGAAAAGGGUGCAGAUUCUAUCCAUAGAAUUUGCUUAAAAGGGAAGGCCGGUGCAAGUCCGGCGCGGUCCCGCCACUGUAAAUGCGGAGCGACUCUUAAGGGUGCCACUGUCCUGUGAAGCAAGGACGGGAAGGCGGAGGGAAGCGGUGAAGCAUAAGCCAGGAGACCUGCCUUUUUCUUGAACGUUUC
rnacentral:ncRNA from 2 species